UGGGAUUAUGUAUGCCAUUGGCUCUCCUGGGUCUCUAGCUUGCACAGAUCAGUGGGCUUCUCAACCUCCAUACUCAUGUCCCAGCUCAACUGAGACCCCAGAAACCUCUGAAGUCUCCACCCUCACCUCUCCAACCCUGAGUCACUUUGUACUUAUGACUCGGUUUUAUUUGUUUUCAUAAAUGUCUGAAAUUUCA